CCUACGGGAGGCAGCAGUGAGGAAUAUUGGUCAAUGGACGAGAGUCUGAACCAGCCAAGUAGCGUGAAGGAUGACUGCCCUACGGGUUGUAAACUUCUUUUAUAUGGGAAUAAAACAGUCCACGUAUAGGCUUUGGUAUGUACCAUAUGAAUAAGGAUCGGCUAACACCGUGCCAGCAGCCGCGGUAAUACGGAGGAUCCGAGCGUUAUCCGGAUUUAUUGGGUUUAAAGGGAGCGUAGGUGGAUUGUUAAGUCAGUUGUGAAAGUUUGCGGCUCAACCGUAAAAUUGCAGUUGAAACUGGCAGUCUUGAGUACAGUAGAGGUAGGCGGAAUGCGUGGUGUAGCGGUGAAAUGCUUAGAUAUCACGAAGAACUCCGAUUGCGAAGGCAGCUCACUGGACUGCAACUGACGCUGAAGCUCGAAAGUGUGGGUAUCAAACAGGAUUAGAUACCCGAGUAGUC
rnacentral:rRNA from 1 species